rnacentral:lncRNA from 1 species
AUUGUGUCCACCCAAAACUAAAAUAUAAAUAUUAAAAAGAAAAAUAAGCAUAGAGCUGGGCACAGUGGCUCAGGCCUGCAAUCAGGGAGGCUGAGGCAGGAGGAUCGUGAGUUUGAGGCCAUUCUGGGCAACUAGGCAAUACCCCAUCUAAUAAAACAACAUAUUAAAAAGAAAAAGUAAACAUAGCCAGUUUGUGCCACUGUGGCCAACAGAGUGGCCGAGAGCAGCCCCUUCCCUCUGUUCUGCAGCUGCGCCCGUGGCCUGCUUUCUGCAGCACUUGUCUCCGUCCUGCCAUACUCAGCACCUCCCACAGAGUCCUGCCUCAUUGUGGGGUGCCUUGGCCCCCCAGGAGGCCCUUGAUGCCCUUUCCUGAGCCCUCCUCACCCUGGUGGUUGAGCUUUGGGCUUUUCCAGGCUGUCUUACUGGAGAAGGUGCAGUGUCAGCAUCGUGGAGUCUUCCCCAGUGCAGUUCAGGAUUUAACCUUGAGAGGAGUUUGAUCCUGGAGGGUGGCCUUGGGGUCUGCCAGAGAUUC